UACGUAGGGUCCGAGCGUUGUCCGGAAUUACUGGGCGUAAAGAGCUCGUAGGUGGUUUGUCGCGUUGUUCGUGAAAACUCACAGCUCAACUGUGGGCGUGCGGGCGAUACGGGCAGACUAGAGUACUGCAGGGGAGACUGGAAUUCCUGGUGUAGCGGUGGAAUGCGCAGAUAUCGGGAGGAAUACCAGUGGCGAAGGCGGCCUUCUGGACGGAUACUGACGCUGAGGCGCGAAAGCGUGGGGAGCAAACAGG
rnacentral:rRNA from 1 species